GUACUGUCUAUGUUGUUACUGUGCCCUAGCUGAGGAUUCAAAGGAGGUGCAGCGGGUUUACUAUGGUUUUUGGCUGAGUUUCCAGCAGCAUACAGUUUCAUCUCUUCAAUUGUGGGUCAACAACAAUUCAUCUGGUUUUAGGACUGUGAUUCGAGACGGACAUCUCGACAUCGGAAUUGGUUCGAUUCGAUCUAUACUGGAG